rnacentral:rRNA from 1 species
UUAAGCGACUAAGCGUACACGGUGGAUGCCCUGGCAGUCAGAGGCGAUGAAGGACGUGCUAAUCUGCGAUAAGCGCCGGUAAGGUGAUAUGAACCGUUAUAACCGGCGAUUUCCGAAUGGGGAAACCCAGUGUGACUCGUCACACUAUCAUUAACUGAAUCCAUAGGUUAAUGAGGCGAACCGGGGGAACUGAAACAUCUAAGUACCCCGAGGAAAAGAAAUCAACCGAGAUUCCCCCAGUAGCGGCGAGCGAACGGGGAGGAGCCCAGAGCCUGAAUCAGCAUGUGUGUUAGUGGAAGCGUCUGGAAAGGCGCGCGAUACAGGGUGACAGCCCCGUACACAAAAGCGCAUGUGCUGUGAGCUCGAUGAGUAGGGCGGGACACGUGGUAUCCUGUCUGAAUAUGGGGGGACCAUCCUCCAAGGCUAAAUACUCCUGACUGACCGAUAGUGAACCAGUACCGUGAGGGAAAGGCGAAAAGAACCCCGGCGAGGGGAGUGAAAAAGAACCUGAAACCGUGUACGUACAAGCAGUGGGAGCNNGUGACUGCGUACCUUUUGUAUAAUGGGUCAGCGACUUAUAUUCUGUAGCAAGGUUAACCGAAUAGGGGAGCCGGAGGGAAACCGAGUCUUAAUUGGGCGUUAAGUUGCAGGGUAUAGACCCGAAACCCGGUGAUCUAGCCAUGGGCAGGUUGAAGGUUGGGUAACACUAACUGGAGGACCGAACCGACUAAUGUUGAAAAAUUAGCGGAUGACCUGUGGCUGGGGGUGAAAGGCCAAUCAAACCGGGAGAUAGCUGGUUCUCCCCGAAAGCUAUUUAGGUAGCGCCUCGUGAAUUCAUCUCCGGGGGUAGAGCACUGUUUCGGCUAGGGGGCCAUCCCGGCUUACCAACCCGAUGCAAACUGCGAAUACCGGAGAAUGUUAUCACGGGAGACACACGGCGGGUGCUAACGUCCGUCGUGAAGAGGGAAACAACCCAGACCGCCAGCUAAGGUCCCAAAGUCAUGGUUAAGUGGGAAACGAUGUGGGAAGGCCCAGACAGCCAGGAUGUUGGCUUAGAAGCAGCCAUCAUUUAAAGAAAGCGUAAUAGCUCACUGGUCGAGUCGGCCUGCGCGGAAGAUGUAACGGGGCUAAACCAUGCACCGAAGCUGCGGCAGCGANNGUUGGGUAGGGGAGCGUUCUGUAAGCCUGCGAAGGUGUGUCGUGAGGGAUGCUGGAGGUAUCAGAAGUGCGAAUGCUGACAUAAGUAACGAUAAAGCGGGUGAAAAGCCCGCUCGCCGGAAGACCAAGGGUUCCUGUCCAACGUUAAUCGGGGCAGGGUGAGUCGACCCCUAAGGCGAGGCCGAAAGGCGUAGUCGAUGGGAAACGGGUUAAUAUUCCCGUACUUGGUGUUACUGCGAAGGGGGGACGGAGAAGGCUAUGUUGGCCGGGCGACGGUUGUCCCGGUUUAAGCGUGUAGGUGUGUGUUCCAGGUAAAUCCGGUUCACUUUAACACUGAGGCGUGAUGACGAGGCACUACGGUGCUGAAGCAACAAAUGCCCUGCUUCCAGGAAAAGCCUCUAAGCAUCAGGUAACAUCAAAUCGUACCCCAAACCGACACAGGUGGUCAGGUAGAGAAUACCAAGGCGCUUGAGAGAACUCGGGUGAAGGAACUAGGCAAAAUGGUGCCGUAACUUCGGGAGAAGGCACGCUGACACGUAGGUGAAGUGAUUUACUCAUGGAGCUGAAGUCAGUCGAAGAUACCAGCUGGCUGCAACUGUUUAUUAAAAACACAGCACUGUGCAAACACGAAAGUGGACGUAUACGGUGUGACGCCUGCCCGGUGCCGGAAGGUUAAUUGAUGGGGUCAGCGCAAGCGAAGCUCCUGAUCGAAGCCCCGGUAAACGGCGGCCGUAACUAUAACGGUCCUAAGGUAGCGAAAUUCCUUGUCGGGUAAGUUCCGACCUGCACGAAUGGCGUAAUGAUGGCCAGGCUGUCUCCACCCGAGACUCAGUGAAAUUGAACUCGCUGUGAAGAUGCAGUGUACCCGCGGCAAGACGGAAAGACCCCGUGAACCUUUACUAUAGCUUGACACUGAACAUUGAGCCUUGAUGUGUAGGAUAGGUGGGAGGCUUUGAAGCGUGGACGCCAGUCUGCGUGGAGCCGACCUUGAAAUACCACCCUUUAAUGUUUGAUGUUCUAACGUGGACCCGUAAUCCGGGUUGCGGACAGUGUCUGGUGGGUAGUUUGACUGGGGCGGUCUCCUCCUAAAGAGUAACGGAGGAGCACGAAGGUUGGCUAAUCCUGGUCGGACAUCAGGAGGUUAGUGCAAUGGCAUAAGCCAGCUUGACUGCGAGCGUGACGGCGCGAGCAGGUGCGAAAGCAGGUCAUAGUGAUCCGGUGGUUCUGAAUGGAAGGGCCAUCGCUCAACGGAUAAAAGGUACUCCGGGGAUAACAGGCUGAUACCGCCCAAGAGUUCAUAUCGACGGCGGUGUUUGGCACCUCGAUGUCGGCUCAUCACAUCCUGGGGCUGAAGUAGGUCCCAAGGGUAUGGCUGUUCGCCAUUUAAAGUGGUACGCGAGCUGGGUUUAGAACGUCGUGAGACAGUUCGGUCCCUAUCUGCCGUGGGCGCUGGAGAACUGAGGGGGGCUGCUCCUAGUACGAGAGGACCGGAGUGGACGCAUCACUGGUGUUCGGGUUGUCAUGCCAAUGGCACUGCCCGGUAGCUAAAUGCGGAAGAGAUAAGUGCUGAAAGCAUCUAAGCACGAAACUUGCCCCGAGAUGAGUUCUCCCUGAGACUU